rnacentral:rRNA from 1 species
AAGGAUUUUCAUCCACCCUGAAUGUGCCCGAUCAAGUGUGAUCUCAGAAGCUAAGCAGGGUCAGGCCUGGUUAGUAUAAGCAGAAAAAGGAUAUUUUCUUUU